rnacentral:lncRNA from 1 species
GCUGAGCCCAAAUCUCCGUCUCUCUCCCAUUUCGGAUGCUCAGUUCUCACCUUAUGUUGGCGGGAUGGCAUUCUCUCCCACUUCAUCCCCUGGUUACAGCCCAUCAUCUCCUGGCUACAGUCCUUCAUCUCCUGGCUACAGUCCUACCUCGCCUGGUUACAGCCCUACAUCUCCUGGCUACAGUCCUACCUCGCCUGGUUACAGCCCCACAUCACCUACUUACAGUCCUAGUUCACCAGGUUACAGCCCAACAAGUCCAGCCUACUCUCCUACAAGUCCCUCUUAUUCUCCAACCUCACCAAGCUAUAGCCCUACCUCUCCAAGCUACAGCCCUACGUCUCCAAGUUACAGUCCUACUUCACCAAGUUAUAGUCCCACAUCUCCCAGCUAUAGUCCAACUUCACCAAGCUACAGCCCUACUUCACCGGCAUAUAGCCCAACUUCACCUGCAUACAGCCCCACUUCUCCAUCAUACAGCCCAACAUCGCCAUCAUACAGUCCGACAUCUCCUUCUUACAGCCCAACCUCACCCUCCUAUAGCCCUAC